rnacentral:tRNA from 1 species
AAAUUAGAAAGCGAAAAAUUGCAUUUAGUUUCGGCCUAAAUUAUGAUCUUCAGAUCUCUAAUU